CUGGCUGGAUCAGUCAUCAGUGCCCUUGUGUUUCCAAAUAAAGAAACCUAGCUGGGAGAAGAAGGCAAGAGCCUCAACAACUUGAGUGAGUGUAGGGUCAGAGGCUACGUCACAGGAGACACUUGUGAAGGCAAUGCCAGCCUGCCACCUGAACAUCACCCUGUGGAAGAGAUAACAUAGUAAUAAGAUAAUAACAGCAUGUACUUCCACCGUCUUUGGUGAAGCCCAACCUUCCAGAUGUCCGCGUGCAUGCAGAGAUACACUCAACCAGAAGAAAUAUCGAGAUAUCCACCUGGAACUGAACUAGGAAGCUUCCUCCUUGCCAAGUAACUUUUAUAGUACUGUAAAGUGCAGUGCAGACUUCUGAGGGAGAACAGGCAUCUUUGAGAACUGCCAACCUGCCAGCUAGAAGAUGGAACCAACUUGGAUAUUCAUCAGAUGACAAAUGGAUGCUGGAUGCUGGACUGCAGAUCAAGUCAGAGUUCUCCAGAGAGCCACGUUGGGUUGUGCCUCACUUCUCCUGGGUCCCUUAACUGACCCCUUUGCUUGCUGUAAGUUUACCCAAAAUAAACUUCUUUUGACUAUCAGAUAAA